rnacentral:rRNA from 1 species
AGCAGCCGCGGUAAUUCCAGCUCCAAUAGCGUAUAUUAAAGUUGUUGCAGUUAAAAAGCUCGUAGUUGAAUUUCGGGACUAAUAUGUCGGUCGUGCCUCGGUACGCACUGGCUUAUUGGUUUCUCCUUUCUGAAGAACCAUGAUGUCAUUUAUUUGGUGUCGUGGGGAAUCAGGACUGUUACUUUGAAAAAAUUAGAGUGUUUAAAGCAGGCUCACGCUUGAAUACAUUAGCAUGGAAUAAUGAAAUAGGACGUUUGAUUCUAUUUUGUUGGUUUCUAGGAUCGACGUAAUGAUUAAUAGGGAUAGUUGGGGGCAUUAGUAUUCAAUUGUCAGAGGUGAAAUUCUUGGAUUUAUUGAAGACUAACUACUGCGAAAGCAUUUGCCAAGGAUGUUUUCAUUAAUCAAGAACGAAAGUUAGGGGAUCGAAGACGAUCAGAUACCGUCGUAGUCUUAACCAUAAACUAUGCCGACUAGGGAU